rnacentral:rRNA from 1 species
AACGAACGCUGGCGGCAGGCUUAACACAUGCAAGUCGAGCGAGACCUUCGGGUCUAGCGGCGGACGGGUGAGUAACGCGUGGGAACGUGCCCUUCUCUACGGAAUAGCCCCGGGAAACUGGGAGUAAUACCGUAUACGCCCUUUGGGGGAAAGAUUUAUCGGAGAAGGAUCGGCCCGCGUUGGCUUAGGUAGUUGGUGGGGUAAUGGCCCACCAAGCCGACGAUCCAUAGCUGGUUUGAGAGGAUGAUCAGCCACACUGGGACUGAGACACGGCCCAGACUCCUACGGGAGGCAGCAGUGGGGAAUCUUAGACAAUGGGGGUAACCCUGAUCUAGCCAUGCCGCGUGAGUGAUGAAGGCCUUAGGGUUGUAAAGCUCUUUCAGCUGGGAAGAUAAUGACGGUACCAGCAGAAGAAGCCCCGGCUAACUCCGUG